UUUUGGUUGCAAAUACUUUUAUUUUGGUAAUUUGCUUCUGGUUUUUCAUGGAUUGUAUUAGUUCCGAGUUGAGAUUGAGAUAAAGGAAGGGAGAUGGAUUUUUGGGUGUUGUUCUUUAUGUUCGACCCUGUGUUUCAUGGGUACUGGUAUUUCUGAAAGUUGAUAUGCUUGAUUGUUUUGAUAUUGGGAUUUAUAUUGGUUCAAUUUUCUAAGUUUUGUAUGUUACUGUUGGAUGAGUUUGGUGGUUUUGAA
rnacentral:misc_RNA from 1 species